rnacentral:rRNA from 1 species
AGUGAACGCUGGCGGCGUGCCUAAUACAUGCAAGUCGAACGAAGUGGCGCACGGGUGAGUAAUAUAUAGUUAAUCUGCCCUACACCGAGGAAAAACAGUUGGAAACAACUGCUAAUACCUCAUAGUGUAGGGUGGGACUAUAUCGUAUCAGAUAGUUGGUAAGGUAAUGGCUUACCAAGGCUAUGACGCGUAACUGGUCUGAGAGGAUGAUCAGUCACCUUGGAACUGAGACACGGUUCAAAUUCCGACGGGAGGCAGCAGGAAGGAAUAGUGCGAAAUGGGGGAAACCCUGACGCAGCAACGUCGCGUGGAGAAUGACACUUUUCGGAGCGUAAACACCUUUUAUCAGGAAAGCGGUACCUAAUGAAUAAGCACCGGCUAACUCCGUGCCAGCAGCCGCGGUAAUUC